rnacentral:rRNA from 1 species
AGUGAACGCUGGCGGUAGGCCUAACACAUGCAAGUCGAACGGCAGCACAGUAAGAGCUUGCUCUUACGGGUGGCGAGUGGCGGACGGGUGAGGAAUACAUCGGAAUCUACUUUUUCGUGGGGGAUAACGUAGGGAAACUUACGCUAAUACCGCAUACGACCUACGGGUGAAAGCAGGGGAUCUUCGGACCUUGCGCGAUUGAAUGAGCCGAUGUCGGAUUAGCUAGUUGGCGGGGUAAAGGCCCACCAAGGCGACGAUCCGUAGCUGGUCUGAGAGGAUGAUCGCCCACACGGGAACUGAGACAGGGCCCAGACUCCUACGGGAGGCACCAGUGGGAAAUAUUAGACAAGGCGCGCAAGCCUCAACCAACCAUACCGGGUGGAUAAAGAAGGCCUUCGGUUUGAAAACCCUUUUUUUGGGAAAAAAAAAGCACCAGUUAAACACCCCCCUUUUCUGACGUUCCCAAAAAAAAAAGCCCCGGCAAACUUCGUC